CUACUAGCCAGUCGAAGCAGAGUAUGAGGGCGUGCCCUGACAGUACCUAGGUAGGACUACUAGCCAGUCAGAAGCAGAGUAUGAGGGCGUGCCCUGACAGUACCUAGUGGACAAUAGCCUGUCAGAAGCAGAGAAUGAGGGCCCUACAGUACCUAGUAAGACUACUAGCCAUCAGAGCAGAUUAGAGGCGUGCCCUGCAGUACCUAGGUAAGGACUACUAGCCAGUC